rnacentral:rRNA from 1 species
UACGUAGGGUGCAAGCGUUGUCCGGAAUUAUUGGGCGUAAAGAGCUCGUAGGCGGUCUGUCGCGUCGGAUGUGAAAAUCCAGGGCUCAACCCUGGACCUGCAUUCGAUACGGGCAGACUAGAGUUCGGUAGGGGAGACUGGAAUUCCUGGUGUAGCGGUGAAAUGCGCAGAUAUCAGGAGGAACACCGGUGGCGAAGGCGGGUCUCUGGGCCGAAACUGACGCUGAGGAGCGAAAGCAUGGGGAGCGAACAGGAUUAGAACCAUACCGUC